rnacentral:rRNA from 1 species
UACGAAGGGGGCUAGCGUUGCUCGGAAUCACUGGGCAUAAAGCGUACGUAGGCGGCGCCGUAAGUGUCGGAUGAAAUCCCACGGCUUACCCGUGGAACGGUCCGGCAUACUGCGGUGCUAGAGGAUGGUAGAGGAGAGCGGAACUCUUGGUGGAGCGGUGAAAUGCGUAGAUAUCAAGAGGAACACCGGUGGCGAAGGCGGGUCUCUC